rnacentral:rRNA from 1 species
CACGUAGGAGGCAAACGUUAUCCGGAUUUACUGGGCGUAAAGCGCGUGUAGGUGGUUCUGUAAGUAGGGCGUGAAAGCUCCCGGCUCAACUGGGAGAUGCCGUUCUAAACUGCAGAGCUAGAGGAUGGUAGAGGGAGGUGGAAUUCCAGGUGUAGCGGUGGAAUGCGCAGAUAUCUGGAGGAACACCAGUGGCGAAGGCGGCCUCCUGGACCAUUCCUGACACUCAGACGCGAAAGCUAGGGUAGCAAACGGGAUUAGAUACCCCUGUA